CCUACGGGUGGCAGCAGUGAGGAAUAUUGGUCAAUGGCCGCAAGGCUGAACCAGCCAAGUAGCGUGCAGGAAGACUGCCCUAUGGGUUGUAAACCUCUUUUAUGCGGGGAUAAAGGUCUCCACGUGUGAUUUUUUGCAGGUACCGCAUGAAUAAGGACCGGCUAAUUCCGUGCCAGCAGCCGCGGUAAUACGGAAGGUCCGGUCGUUAUCCGGAUUUAUUUGGUUUAAAGGGAGCGUAGGCCGGUCUUUAAGCGUGCCGUGAAAUUUUGUGGCUCACCCAUGGCAGUGCGGCGCGAACUGGAGAGCUUGAGUGCGCGGAAGGCAGGUGGAAUUCGUGGUGUAGCGGUGAAAUGCUUAGAGAUCACGAAGAACCCCGAUUGCGAAGGCAGCCUGCCGCAGCGUUACUGACGCUGAAGCUCGAAAGCGCGGGUAUCGAACAGGAUUAGAUACCCCUGUAGUC
rnacentral:rRNA from 1 species